AAGACCUUCUUUCAUUUGGACCUACCCAUCUGAUAUAUACCAAGCUCGCCCAAAAGGAAUUACACUUUACACAGAAAAAACAGAGGAACACAAAUACAGAUGCCAACCAACUGAUGGCGGCGCGUCACCUCACCCAGAAGUGUGCGUGGCAGUUGACCACCAUGGUACGCUCGAUCAGCUCAUCGGGGCACUCCAGGAGGUGAUGGCCUGACACCACGCCAGCGUUGUUGACGAGUAUGUCCACCUCGCCCACCUCUCGACGCACCUUCUCGGCCGUGGAGUAGACGCUCUCGUGCUUGCCCACGUCGCACACAUAAGUGUACACUUGGGGCUGAAAGGGAGGCACUUCUUCGACACCACCUGAAUGGCAAGCGGUGGCCGGUUAUUGGAGGUGAUCAUUAUAUUUCAAGAGUGUGGCCAGGACCCUGUCACCAGAUAAGUGGUACACCUGAAGUGCGUUCAAAGUGCGCACAUUUACACCAUACUUGCCAACCCUCCCGUUUUUAGUGGGAGAAUCCCGAUAUUCAGCGCCUCUCCCGACAACCUCCCGACAGAGAUUUUCUCCCGACAAACUCCCGGUAUUCAGCCGGAGCUGGAGGCCACGCCCCAAAAAAAAAAGUCUGCCGCAGCUGCGAUUGGACCUGACCAGCCUCCGGGUACAAGUACUGGAGUACCAAUUGCUUGCCCAGGAAGCAAGGAUUGACCGGUUUUAGUUUAGUCUUUAUUUGAAGGGACAAUGUACAGAAACAUUAAGCUCAAAGACAGAUAUGUUCUGUACCAGAUUAUAGCUAAAUAGCUAAUUUCCAUCUGCAGUCCCUGGCUACCUAAAUUAAAGGGAUACAAAAAUCAUGCAAUAAAAUUAUGACAAUAAAAUCAUACACAAGUAUUAAGAAAAAAGUCAUAAAAUGCCCUUUCAUGGACACAUACUUAAUAUACAAUACAACCACACCUCAUUUACAUCAUCACACAAAAACAAUACAUGCUAUUUUUCACAUCUGUCAUCAUUUGUAAAAACAACCAUGAUUUUAACACACACACACCUCACAAUUUACAAUAAAAAAUGCUCUCAUGGAUAAAUAUAAUACACAUUAGGUUGAUGUGUCAAACAUAAUGCCCAUCUUAGUGACUGUGUGAGCAGCUUUGAUUGCUCCAAAGCCACUUUUUAACUUCAAUUGUGAAUGAAGAGUAAUCUGUUAGACUUUUCAAGUUUGUUGUGAGGUCGUUCCAUUCCUUUAUGGCUUUAUAUGAAAAGGCUGAUUGUGCAAAAGAGGUUUUACAUCUGGGUACGCUACACUGCCCCCUGGUGGAGGCUCCUGUGUUUCUAGUUGUCACAGCAGAUGUAAACUGGACAAAGUUUUGGGCCAUGCUAGGGAGAGAUGGAAGAUUCCACACUCUCGUGCAUUUGAUGAAAGCACUUUUGUGUGUGCCACACAGCAAUGCAUCAUCAGAGAGGGUGUUCAGCAUGGUUAGAAAAAUAGUGACAGAGAAUAGAAAGAGGAUGGACAAUUCAACCCUUAACAAAGCAUUGUACUUUCAAGUACAACAAUGAGUAGAUGAGUGUUGUGUGUGUGUGUGUGUAUAUGUGUAAAUAAAU